rnacentral:rRNA from 1 species
GAAGCAAGAGAGCGAUCUGGAGCAAAACUCUAAAAAAACAUCUCAGUUCAGAUUGCAGGCUGCAACUCGCCUGCAUGAAGUCGGAAUUGCUAGUAAUCGUAGGUCAGCAUACUACGGUGAAUACGUUCCCGGGCCUUGUACACACCGCCCGUCAAACCAUGAGGGUUGGCAACACCCGAAGUCGGUAGUCUAACCGCAAGGAGGACGCCGCCGAAGGUGGGGUUGAUGAUUAGGGUUAAGUCGUAACAAGGUACC